GCCGUCCUAGCUCAGUGGUAGAGCGUGUGGCUUUUAACCACGUGGCCGUGGGUUCGUUCGAUCCCCACGGACGGUG
rfam:Zea mays cultivar B73 chromosome 7, whole genome shotgun sequence.